rnacentral:tRNA from 1 species
GGGGUCGUAGCUCAACUUGGUUAGAGCGUUUCCCUGUCACGGAAAAGGUUGCGAGUUCGAGUCUCGUCGGCCCCG